rnacentral:rRNA from 1 species
UAAGCAUAUCAAUAAGCGGAGGAAAAGAAACCAACAGGGAUUGCCCUAGUAACGGCGAGUGAAGCGGCAACAGCUCAAAUUUGAAAUCUGGCCUUCGGGUCCGAGUUGUAAUUUGUAGAGGAUGCUUUUGGCGCGGUGCCUUCCGAGUUCCCUGGAACGGGACGCCUUAGAGGGUGAGAGCCCCGUACGGUUGGACACCAAGCCUCUGUAAAGCUCCUUCGACGAGUCGAGUAGUUUGGGAAUGCUGCUCUAAAUGGGAGGUAAAUUUCUUCUAAAGCUAAAUAUUGGCCAGAGACCGAUAGCGCACAAGUAGAGUGAUCGAAAGAUGAAAAGCACUUUGAAAAGAGGGUUAAAUAGCACGUGAAAUUGUUGAAAGGGAAGCGUUUGCGACCAGACUUUUCCCUAGCGGAUCAUCCGGUGUUCUCACCGGUGCACUUCGCUAGGUUAAGGCCAGCAUCGGUUUCUGUAGGGGGAUAAAAGCUUGGGGAAUGUAGCUCCCUCGGGAGUGUUAUAGCCUCUUGUAUAAUACCCUUACGGGGACCGAGGACCGCGCUUUUGCAAGGAUGCUGGCGUAAUGGUUGUCAACGACCCGUCUUGAAACACGGACCAAGGAGUCGAACAUUUGUGCGAGUGUUUGGGUGUUAAACCCUCACGCGUAAUGAAAGUGAACGGAGGUGAGAGCCCUUACGGGUGCAUCAUCGACCGAUCCUGAUGUCUUCGGAUGGAUUUGAGUAAGAGCAUAACUGUUCGGACCCGAAAGAUGGUGAACUAUGCGUGGAUAGGGUGAAGCCAGAGGAAACUCUGGUGGAGGCUCGCAGCGGUUCUGACGUGCAAAUCGAUCGUCAAAUCUGCGCA